UAGGGAAUCUUCCGCAAUGGACGCAAGUCUGACGGAGCAACGCCGCGUGAGUGAAGAAGGAUUUCGGUUCGUAAAACUCUGUUGUUAGAGAAGAACAGCGCAUAGAGUAACUGUUAUGCGUGUGACGGUAUCUAACCAGAAAGCCACGGCUAACUACGUGCCAGCAGCCGCGGUAAUACGUAGGUGGCAAGCGUUGUCCGGAUUUAUUGGGCGUAAAGCGAGCGCAGGCGGUCAAUUAAGUCUGAUGUGAAAGCCCCCGGCUCAACCGGGGAGGGUCAGUGGAAACUGGUUGACUUGAGUGCAGAAGAGUAGAGUGGAAUUCCAUGUGUAGCGGUGAAAUGCGUAGAUAUAUGGAGGAACACCAGUGGCGAAGGCGACUGUCUGGUCUGUAACUGACGCUGAGGUUCGAAAGCGUGGGUAGCAAACAGG
rnacentral:rRNA from 1 species